rnacentral:rRNA from 1 species
UACGGAAGGCAGCAGUGGGGAAUAUUGCACAAUGGGCGAAAGCCUGAUACAGCUAUGCCGCGUGUAUGAAGAAGGCCUUAGGGUUGUAAAGUACUUUCAUCGGGGAGGAAAAAAACAAAACUAAUAAUUUUAUUUCUUGACGUUACCCGAAAAAGAAGCACCGGCUAACUCCGUGCCAGCAGCCGCGGUAAUACGGAGGGUGCUAGCGUUAAUCAGAAUUACUGGGCGUAAAGAGCACGUAGGUGGUUUUUUUAAAGUCAGAUGUGAAAUCCCUGGGCUUAACCUAGGAACUGCAUUUUGAAACUGAAAUACUAGAGUAUCGUAGAGGGAGGUAGAAUUCUAGGUGUAGCGGUGAAAUGCGUAGAUAUCUGGAGGAAUACCUGUGGCGAAAGCGGCCUCCUAAACGAAUACUGACACUGAGGGUGCGAAAGCGUGGGGAGCAAACCAGGGAUUAGAUACCCGU